CAAGCCAUGCAUGCCCGCGCACCCGGGAGGCGGCGGACGGCUCAGGACAACGGUUGCACCCCCCGCGGCGGUCCCUGCUAGCCGGACACCGCUGGCAACCCGGCGCCAAGACGUGCGCGCAAGGGCGGGCGCCCGCGGG
rnacentral:rRNA from 1 species